AAAUGUAGUCUCCGCGGGAAAGCGGCCCGGGUGCAGAGAGAAAGGGAGGAUCGUUGCUAUGGACUUUCGCCUUUAGUUGCGGAAGCGUGGCCGCAGUGUUACUAAGAGACGAGGUCUCGCUAUGUUGCCCAGGCUUGUGUCAAGCAAUCCUCCCGCCUCGGCGUCCCAAAGUGCUGGAAUUACAGGCAUGAGCCACCAUGCAAACCUGUCUCCAGGAAGUGUUUGCUGAAUGAAUGAAAAGACUAGAUAACGCUGCAAGUAUCCAAGACAGUAGAUGAUUGGCUGGUAAAGCAGAAGCGGUCGCCUAGAAAUUCCCUUCUCCCAUGAUUUGCAAAAUUUUGCUUUUGUAUAUUUUUCUAAGAAAGAAUCUAUAGCUUUUAUUAUGUAUUCCAGGGAAUUGAUAAACCCCUCAACAAGUUAAGAACCAUAUUCCUGAAGUGACUAGUAUUGAAAGUAAGUGAACACACAUCACAUAGUAAAGAAAACUAAAUACGGGCUGUGUAGUGUGUCUCCUCAUUUCCCACGGAAUAUCAGGAGGCUAAUCUUUGCUCUUAUAGAAGCCCACAGAGGGCCCAUCUGUGUCCUUUCCAGUCGUGUCCAUC